rnacentral:misc_RNA from 1 species
UGGGAAAUCGAUGAAUGAACUUU